CCAGGUCCAGUGAUGAAAGAUUCCGGAUGUUAAGAAACAAUGUUUCCGAGAGCGCAAAACCGUGUGGAGAUUUCCGUUGCCUUCCUUCUGAGGAUCAUG
rnacentral:snoRNA from 1 species